rnacentral:rRNA from 1 species
GCCAAAAUUAAAGCCCACUUACACAUUACAAAACCGCCCAACCCCUAUACCAAAUCAUUUGCCAAAGUUAGUAAAUGCGAUUAAACUCACACUCAGGCGCAAACUAGUACCGUAAGGGAACAAUGAAAGAACAAUGAAAACAUUAAGCACAAAACAGCAAAGAUAAACCCCUGUACCUCUUGCAUCAUGGUUUAGCAAACAACAUCAGACAAAGAGAACUUAAGUCUGCCCCCCCGAAACUAAACGAGCUAUUUCUGAGCAGCCUAAUAUUAGGGCACACCCGUCCCUGUAGCAAAAGGGUGGGAAGACUUAAAAAUAGAGGUAAAAAGCCAACCGAGUUUAGUGAUAGCUGGUUACUCAACAAAAGAAUUUUAGUUCAACUUUGGGACCAACAAAACAAAACUGAAGUCUACCUUUUAACCCAAAGACAUUCAACGGGGGUACAGCCCCAUUGAACCGGGAUACAGCCCGAACUGAGAGAACAAACCACCAACAAUAACAAGUAGGCUUCUAAGCAGCCACCAACACCCAACCGCGUUACAGCACACCAAAACAAAUCCCACCAAUAAAUUUAUUCUCCAAAACCACAAAGAGUUACCCUAUAAUUAUAUAGAGACAUUUAUGCUAAAACUAGUAAUAAGAGGACCCCCUCUCUUACCGCACCCCUUUAAGUCAGAAAGGAAUACACCACUGAUAGUUACCAGAUCUUAUACAACCAUCGACUUAAACACCAAUGUUACAAACACUGUUAACCCGACACAGGAGUGCAAUAAAAGAAAGACAAAAAGCUGCAAAAGGAACUCGGCAAUAAAAGUCCCAACUGUUUACCAAAAACAUAGCCUUUAGCCCCACAAGUAUUAAAGGUCUUGCCUGCCCAGUGAUAUUUUUAAACGGCCGCGGUAUCCUAACCGUGCAAAGGUAGCAUAAUCACUUGUCCCCUAAAUAGGGACUAGUAUGAACGGCUAAAUGAGGACUUUACUGUCUCUUGCCGCCAGUCAAUGAAACUGAUCUUCCAGUUCAAAAGCUGGAAUAACACCAUAAGACAAAAAGACCCUGUGGAGCUUUUAAACCAAAACCACCAAAAAUUGUCCACUUGGUUUUUAGUUGGGGCGACUUCGGGGUAAAACCAAACCCCCGAAACAAUGGAACCUACCAUAUUAAGGCCAACACGCCAAAAUAAUUUAAAACUUGACCCAGAUCUUUUAAUAUCUGACCAAUGAACCAAGUUACCCCAGGGAUAACAGCGCCAUCUUCUUUUAGAGUCCAUAUCGACAAGAGGGUUUACGACCUCGAUGUUGGAUCAGGACACCCCAAUAGUGCAGCCGCUAUUAACGGUUCGUUUGUUCAACGAUUAACAGUCCUACGUGAUCUGAGUUCAGACCGGAGUAAUCCAGGUCGGUUUUUAUCUAUGCACGCGCCAUCUUCAGUACGAAAGGAUCAAGAUGGCAGGACCAAUACCAUAAAGCAUGUCCUUAAAUAUCAACCACUGAAUAUAUCUAAAGUGGCUACCACACGGCCCCUCCACCCCAAUAACAGGGAUU